CAGUAGCCGCGGGAAUACGGAGGGUGCAAGCGUUAAUCGGAAUUACUGGGCGUAAAGCGCACGCAGGCGGUCUGACAAGUCAGAUGUGAAAUCCCCGGGCUUAACCUGGGAACUGCAUUUGAAACUGUCAGGCUGGAGUCUUGUAGAGGGGGGUAGAAUUCCAGGUGUAGCGGUGAAAUGCGUAGAGAUCUGGAGGAAUACCGGUGGCGAAGGCGGCCCCCUGGACAAAGACUGACGCUCAGGUGCGAAAGCGUGGGGAGCAAACAGGAUUAGAUACCCCUGUAGUCCCUGUCUCUUAUAC
rnacentral:rRNA from 1 species